rnacentral:rRNA from 1 species
AUACUGCUGGCCUUGGGACCGGGAGAGGCGGGGGGUACCCCUGGGGUAGGGGUGAAAUCCUAUAAUCCCAGGGGGACCGCCAGUGGCGAAGGCGCUCCGCUGGAACGGGUCCGACGGUGAGGGACGAAGGCCAGGGGAGCGAACCGGAUUAGAUACCCGGGUAGUCCUGGCUGUAAAGGAUGCGGGCUAGGUGUCGGGCGAGCUUCGAGCUCGCCCGGUGCCGGAGGGAAGCCGUUAAGCUCGCCGCCUGGGGAGUACGGCCGCAAGGCUGAAACUUAAAGGAAUUGGCGGGGGAGCACUACAAGGGGUGGAGCGUGCGGUUUAAUUGGAUUCAACGCCGGGAACCUCACCGGGGGCGACGGCAGGAUGAAGGCCAGGCUGAAGGUCUUGCCGGACGCGCCGAGAGGAGGUGCAUGGCCGCCGUCAGCUCGUACCGUGAGGCGUCCACUUAAGUGUGGUAACGAGCGAGACCCGCGCCCCCAGUUGCCAGUCCUCCCCGUUGGGGAGGAGGCACUCUGGGGGGACCGCCGGCGAUAAGCCGGAGGAAGGAGCGGGCGACGGUAGGUCAGUAUGCCCCGAAACCCCCGGGCUACACGCGCGCUACAAUGGGCGGGACAAUGGGAUCCGACCCCGAAAGGGGAAGGGAAUCCCCUAAACCCGCCCCCAGUUCGGAUCGCGGGCUGCAACUCGCCCGCAUGAAGCUGGAAUCCCUAGUACACCGCGUGUCAU